rnacentral:lncRNA from 1 species
UGUGGUUCUCCAGUUUGCCUAGUUUUAUAAUUUUGUAGCCUGCUGCGAUUUCUGGCCUAUUGAUUAAUGGGUCUCUCUCUCUCUCCACCACCAGCGACCUUAAUCUUUUCUUAAUUGCUUUAAUGGCUGUUCGGCUUCCCUCUCGUGCCUUCCCCCACAAUGUUGUUGUUGCUAAGCUUUUGUGUCUUAACUUCAUUCUCCAACCGAGGACUUUGCAGGCGAGUGAAAGGUGAAUUCUCUCUUUGUUUACCCUUUUUUCCUUGUUUUUCUCUUUUGCUUUAUUUCUUCUUCAGCUGUUUUCACAUUUCUUAGCCAGUAUGGGGCAUUGUCUGAGGUAAUUGGGCAAAAACAGAAAAAUAAACAAAAAUAUAAUGAGGGGAGGUCAAGGACAAGGUCUCCCCUCAACCCCCCCAAGUGACCCCUGCACCUACUACAUCCGCAUCCAGUCUGGUCACUGCGCCUCCCUCUCUCUCUCUCCUGCCCCUCCAAGGCCAGCAGCUCCUCCCCCAGGCAGAGGGUGUCCAAGGUCUUCCUGGAAGCCAGACUGGGAUGGGCUGACUUUCACCUGACCUGGUUUGGGGCUGUCUCCUUCAUUAGGAAUAACUUCUCAGAGCUUCUUCAAAUAUGCUUUAUUCGUUUCUUCCUUCAUCGGUUUAUUUGCAAAGACUUAUUGAACGCUUACAGUGUGCCCGGCAUGCCAAGUACCAUGGGAAAGAACAAAUGAAGCUCAGGCCUUGAGCUGCAGUCACGCACAGGUCAAACUAGCAGAGGGGAAAGAGUACGGAACCCAGCAAUGCAUCAGGAGCUUUCGAGAGCUCCGAAUAGCAAAUACUGUGGGAGUUCUGAGACGGAGUUUCACUCUUGUCACCCAGACUGUAAUACAGUGGCACAAUCUCAGCUCACUGCAACCUCCACCUCCUGGAUUCAAGCAAUUCUCCUGCUUCAGCCUCCCAAGUAGCUGGGAUUACAGGCGCCCACCACCAUGCCCAGCUAAUUUUUGUAUUUUCAGUAGAGAUGGGUUUUCACCAUGUUGGCCAGGCUGGUCUCGAACUCCUGACCUCAGGUGAUCCACUUGCCUCGGCCUCUGAAAGUGCUGGAAUUACAGGCAUGAGCCACCGCACCUGGCUGUUGCAUUGUCUUCUGAUGGACCCUAUGGUGUCAGUGAACCCUGGGGGCAGGCCUGAGUCUUCUUCUGUACAUGAAUGGACAGAACCCAGG